UACGAAGGGGGCGAGCGUUGUUCGGAUUUACUGGGCGUAAAGGGCGCGCAGGCGGCUCAUUUUGUCAGGCGUGAAAGCCCCGGGCUUAACCUGGGAACUGCGUUUGAUACGGAUGGGCUAGAGUUCGGGAGAGGAGAGUGGAAUUCCCAGUGUAGAGGUGAAAUUCGUAGAUAUUGGGAAGAACACCGGUGGCGAAGGCGGCUCUCUGGACCGAGACUGACGCUGAGGCGCGAAAGCGUGGGGAUCAAACAGG
rnacentral:rRNA from 1 species